UACAGGGGGGGCAAGCGUUGUUCGGAAUUACUGGGCGUAAAGGGUCUGUAGGUGGCCAACUAAGUCAGACGUGAAAUCCCUCAGCUUAACUGGGGAACUGCGUCUGAUACUGGAUGGCUUGAGUGUGGGAGAGGAAUGCGGAAUUCCAGGUGUAGCGGUGAAAUGCGUAGAUAUCGCUUGGAACGCCGACGGUGAAAAACAGCUCGCUGGGGACUCGCUGACGCUGAGACACGAAAGCCAGGGGAGCAAAACGGG
rnacentral:rRNA from 1 species